rnacentral:rRNA from 1 species
AGUGAACGCUGGCGGUAGGCCUAACACAUGCAAGUCGAACGGCAGCACAGGAGAGCUUGCUCUCUGGGUGGCGAGUGGCGGACGGGUGAGGAAUACAUCGGAAUCUACUCUGUCGUGGGGGAUAACGUAGGGAAACUUACGCUAAUACCGCAUACGACCUACGGGUGAAAGCAAGGGAUCUUCGGACCUUGCGCGAUUGAAUGAGCCGAUGUCGGAUAGCUAGUUGGCGGGGUAAAGGCCCACCAAGGCGACGAUCCGUAGCUGGUCUGAGAGGAUGCGCAGCCACACUGGAACUGAGACACGGGACAGACUCCUACUGUAGGGAGCAGUGGGGAUUAUUGGACAAUGGGCGCAAGCCUGAUCCAGUCAUACCGCGUGGGUGAAGAAGGCCUUCGGGUUGUAAAGCCCUUUUGUUGGGAAAGAAAUCCAGCUGGCUAAUACCCGGUUGAGAUGACGGUACCCAAAGAAUAAGCACCGGCUAACUUCGUGCCAGCAGCCGCGGUAA